GUGGCCACUGCAAGUUUACUACGCGAGGCGCAGCCAAUGCCAAGCGCCGAGGCCGAGGAGGGCUAAACACUGCGGCCGCGGCUCCGAACAAUAACCGCCGCGCGCGGGGCGGCGCGAGUAGGGCCGCGGGGGAGGGAGCUGUCGCCGCAGAGCGCCGCGGAGAGGACGCCUGGACUCCGCCUGCCGCCCCGGCGCCCCCGCCGCGGUCAGGUGGAGCCGCUGGUGCGCUGGCCCCGGGUGCCGAGCGCGGAGCUCGCCUCGGUCCUCUCCUCGCCCGUCUGCCUGGCGUGCGCACGGCCGCCGCGGUUGUGACUGCAUUCUACCGGCGCUGCUCGGUGCGGCCGGGCUCCGGGUCCGCUGGGCGUGCGAGUGAGUGUGUGCGUGCGCGCGCGGGUGCGCGCAGGGGUGGGGGCUGCGGCGCGGCGCUCGCCCCCCGGUAGCCCCCCUCUCCUCUCGGCUCCCCACACCUCCCUCCGGCU
rnacentral:lncRNA from 10 species